UACGAAGGGGGCUAGCGUUGUUCGGAAUUACUGGGCGUAAAGCGCGCGUAGGCGGUGAUCUUUGUCAGAGGUGAAAGCCCGGGGCUCAACUCCGGAAUUGCCUUUGAAACGGGAUUGCUAGAGUCCGAGAGAGGAUGGCGGAAUUCCUAGUGUAGAGGUGAAAUUCGUAGAUAUUGGGAAGAACACCGAUGGCGAAGGCAGCCAUCUGGACCGACACUGACGCUGAGGCGCGAAAGCGUGGGGAGCAAACAGG
rnacentral:rRNA from 1 species